UCUGCAGUUAAUUAAAAAUGACGAGAAUUAAGCACACAACAGAUGAGGAUAUAAAGUACAGAUCAGCUUGAUCCCCCAGCAUGAAAAUGCAUUUUAUUUUAUCCCUUUAGCAGAAGAGGGAUUUUUGUCUCCACAUACGGGCUAUAGCAACGUGGCUGGAAAAUUUCCAUUGUCUUUAAUUAAAACAGUGUGAUUACGUUUUCCUUUCUGCAGCCUGCACAGACCCUGACUCAGCUUAGAAUUAGGUGCAGGUGGUCUGAGUGCAGCAGUAAUCAGGGCUGGAUCUGGCACCUAGAUAGCCUGGUACAAAAACCCUCGGGUCAAACCCACCUAAUCUGGAGAUAUGUUGUUAUUGCAAGGCUAACAUGUAGUGUUCCAGUUUUGCUAAGAGGAAGAUGAUUUUGCUAGGAAGAAAAACAUGGUUUGUGCCUGUUGUAGGAUGACCUGCAGGAGUGAAGCAUGAAGGUUCAGUGCAAGAGAAUGUGUGAUAGUUAAUCUCUUCCCAAACACCCUGACCUUGGAUAAUACACAAGACUGCAAGGAGAGCAGCCCUGCACCUGGUGUUUAAGGUUAAAUAGGUCCAUGUGAAGCCACAAUCAAUUUGUUACCUACUCCAUACACUCACCUGUGUAAUUGUGCAGAGGUUUGGAAGGCUCCUGGCACAUGUCAAGAAUCUCAUUAGUGGUGCUGAUGUCUUCUGCCUCUGGCUGUACCUCAUCAGGUCUGGCACCUUCAGGAUUUUCAUCUGAUUACAUGCACUCACCUGGAAUCUGCAAGUCCUGCCUACACCCUGCUUGUUUCUUUCAUGUUCAAUUGCUCUUGGAUAAAAACACAAGGACCAGGUAGCAAAUACGUUAUCAAAAGAUGGCCAUCCUGGCAUGAGAAUGUAACUACCGCAAUGCUUC
rnacentral:lncRNA from 1 species